CCAGAGUAAGAGAGGCAGACUGAGGGCAAGGUCAAACAGGGAGGGAAAUCAGUUCCUUUUGGGAUGUGGGUUGCAGGCCAGUGGUUGCUCAUAGUGGUGGGUAUAUGUCUCCCACAGAGGGAGCUGCUAAGGUAAGGAUGGCUUCAUUCAGAACUGUAUGUAGCCUGAUGGGGAACAGAGUUACCGUGGAACUAGACGGGUGUGAAGAGAAGUCAGGAAGGCCACAGCAGGUGGGGCUUUGAUGAGAGCCUUGGCAGCCACCAAGAAGGUCACCUCUCUUUCUAACUAGGGGGCCCCUAUGCCUGGAGGUCAGGUGACAGGAACUGUUUCAUGCAGCCACUUCUUUGCCACAGAUAAACACACAGAACAGCUGGCUCUCAGGCUGGGCAGGAAGUAUGCUUGUUGCAGUACUAGAAGCUUCUAUAAUAUCCAUGCAGUACCACUGCCAGGCUUUCCUGAGCCCUCUGGGAUGGGAGGGAUGGGACAGAGUGUCAGCAACAACUUGGCACUCACCUGUGCAGGACAACAGGCUUUUCCACAGGGUGACCCAGGAGCUCCUGGAUGUUGUCCCACUGUGAGACAGACAGAGCACAGGGGUUAGCUGGUGAUGACCCAGACAACAUGGCCUCGUACUGCCUGCAGGUUCAUGCCUGCCUCAUUCUCAGGCUCUGUCAAGAAAAUAGGCUCUCACCUUGCUAUAGGUUGUGCACGUUUCUGUCUGAUCGUCUGCAUUUUCUGAAAAAAGCACACAGGGUGAGUCGGUGACUGGCCCAGCCCUAGGUCUGACCCUGGCACAGGCUGCAGCACUUAAGGGGCACCCAAAGGCCAACUGGAGCUCGGGGGUGGAGAGCAGUCAGCCCGUGUGAGCCACAUUGGUUGGCAGGGAAUAGAAGGCACUCAGCAUGGGUGGUGAGCACUGGAGAGUUAUCCCAGGAAACGCUCCUCCACCUCCUGAGGACAGCAGUGCCGCAACCCUAGGAAAGGCCCUCUAGGACCUCCAAGAGCGGCGCGGUCUGCAGAUGAGGCGGCGGCCACGGAAGCAGGUAGGCAGAGGCUUUCCCCUGGGGAUUCAGAGUGGGAGUGGGAAACCGAGUCACAAGCACCCUCCUUACCCCCAGGGCACUCACUGCUCACCUUUCUUUAUGGCCAGUGGGAUCUUGAACUCACAGCGGUGAUAGCUACAGAGAAGGCAAAGAUGUAAGGGCAAGACUUCCUGGGAAGCCUGGGCACUGCUGCUUCCCAAUCCAGCCCCUGGGAAUAGCAGGAAUUCAGGGCAAAUAAAUCAAGGAACACCCAAAAGCCCAAGUUCUUUCUUGGGGUUUUUCAGCCCAAGGCUUCUUCCUAAGACACUACUUACAUGUUGAAGUUAUAGUGUCCAGGGUAAUUGGUAUGUAGGACAAACUUCUUCACCUUGUGUGUAUUUGCAUCAAACAGGAUGUCCUGGGAUAGAAAACAAGGUGCUUAAGUUGGAAAUGUCCCUGAGGCAGGACUGAGCUCUUUCCAAGAUCUUAUUCACAAGAGUGCCCGAGGCCAGGAAGCCCCAACUGGACACUUUCAGUGGGCAGAGGACCCAACCAUUGCUAGUUCAGGCAGACACAGGCUACACUCCCUGGAAAGUAAAAGGUGAAAGGAAAGCUUUACUGCCAGCUCUCCGUGGGAGUGAAAUUCCAGCCUGAUCUCUCAGAAGGGGUUGGCUCUAGACUUGGCAUUGGCCACUGGAUACCCUUCUACCUCUUUGCAGUUGCAGGUUCUGUCCUGGUCCGCAAGUACAGGGUUACCUAGGAUUCAGCCCUGGCCCAGUAAAUAGAUGUUACUGGGGCUGUGUCCCUCCAUCUUGCCUGUCAUCAGCUGUCACUGGGUCAGGCCCACAGGUCCCUUACAGCAGUACCAUGCUGCCCACAGCAGUAUAUGUCCCACAGCCAUUUGCCAACCCCUCCUGGCUACUGACAGGUCUCCCUCUCUGUCACCUACCCCUUACUGCCUCAAGAACUUGGAACCUAGAAGACCCAGCACUUAGAGGACCUGUACUUCAGCCAGCCCUGCGACAGUUCUUGCUGGUGCACUGCUGCCCCAAACGUUUCUCAUCCACAUGUGCUGUCCACCAGCAGUGACACUGACCCCUGGCUCCAUCCAGGACCCCAUGCCCGCUGUGCUGCCCCUGGGUGGGCCACUAAAAAUACCCUGGGUCUUUUCCAGAUUCCAGUGCUCUAUGAUAACCUGCGUUCUGGAGUCUCCAUGUUUUCCCUCAGAAAAGAAGUCAUGACACAGCAGGGAGCCUGUAUUCCUCAGCAUUCCAGAGGCAGGAAAGGUCAUGGGGCAAAGCCAUCGGUUCACUGUGGCCCAAGCCUGGCUGCUACCACACAUGUACACACAGAUUUAUAGAAGACUUUGUGUGGAGAGCCAAGCAUGCUAAGAACAUCUUGGCAGGAAUCACCAAAAUAUACUGAACGUUCAAACACCCGCAUCUUGGCAUCUGCUAACAGACCAGGGCCACAACCUGCAGAGAAGAAGGGAUGGACUGUCAGGAAUGGGGACCCCAGAGCCCCAAGCACUGGGACUACAUAGAGGAUACUUGGCUUAUAACCUGCCCAGGGAACUGAGCAAGCUUGAAGGUUGCCUCAGGAAGCAUGGCUGCAAUUCCUGGGCUGCUGCACGUGGGAGUCUUGCUAAUGUAAUGAAGCCAGUGAAUAAGGCUUCUCUGUAUCAAGCAGACAGUGGGAAAGAAGGCUCACCAGUAUUUUAACUUCACUUUAGUCAAGUCAUAUACUUCAAUCACCUAAGAGAAAAAAAGCUUGAGUUGUUAAUUAGUUUGAUUACAGACAAAACUGAACAGAUAUUUAUGGUAUAAAUAGUACAUUUAUGGGAAAAACACUCCCCAACUCUGCUCCCCUUAUUUCUCCCAGUGGACUGCUCAUGGAUCAAGGCCUGGGUAGCCAGUCCCCAGCUGAGUCGUACUGGGCAACACUCUCCCAAUCCCUCUCACCCAGGGCAGUAACACUUUCCAGAGAAACAGACGCAUGCAGCCUUCAAAGGCUCUGAAUGCAGAGCCCAUUCCUUCUACUCCAUACUUUGUUAUAUUAUAAAAACUCAAAUCUAGUUCCUUUUAAAAACAGCUUAUAAAAGUAUUUUCUUCACAAAAUAAAAAUAUGAAGGGACAGUUCUAUCUUGCAAGAAAACAGGGUACAAUACUGGCUUAGGCUAAAUGUGUGUUUGGUCAUGUCCCUAACAAGCAU